AACGAACGCUGGCGGCAGGCCUAACACAUGCAAGUCGAGCGCUCACUUCGGUGGGAGCGGCGGACGGGUUAGUAACGCGUGGGAAUAUGCCCGGUACUAAGGAAUAGCCUUUGGAAACGAAGAGUAAUACCUUAUACGCCCUUCGGGGGAAAGAUUUAUCGGUAUCGGAUUAGCCCGCGUAAGAUUAGAUAGUUGGUGGGGUAAUGGCCUACCAAGUCUACGAUCUUUAGCUGGUUUUAGAGGAUGAUCAGCAACACUGGGACUGAGACACGGCCCAGACUCCUACGGGAGGCAGCAGUGGGGAAUCUUAGACAAUGGGCGCAAGCCUGAUCUAGCCAUGCCGCGUGAGUGAAGAAGGCCUUAGGGUCGUAAAGCUCUUUCGCCAGGGAUGAUAAUGACAGUACCUGGUAAAGAAACCCCGGCUAACUCCGUGCCAGCAGCCGCGGUAAUACGGAGGGGGUUAGCGUUGUUCGGAAUUACUGGGCGUAAAGCGCACGUAGGCGGAUUAGAAAGUUAGAGGUGAAAUCCCAGGGCUCAACCCUGGAACUGCCUUUAAAACUCCUAGUCUUGAGUUCGAGAGAGGUGAGUGGAAUUCCAAGUGUAGAGGUGAAAUUCGUAGAUAUUUGGAGGAACACCAGUGGCGAAGGCGGCUCACUGGCUCGAUACUGACGCUGAGGUGCGAAAGUGUGGGGAGCAAACAGGAUUAGAUACCCUGGUAGUCCACACCGUAAACGAUGAAUGCCAGUCGUCGGCAAGUAUACUUGUCGGUGACACACCUAACGGAUUAAGCAUUCCGCCUGGGGAGUACGGUCGCAAGAUUA
rnacentral:rRNA from 1 species